UGAGAGAACCCACUGUGUUCUCGGCCUUAAG
rnacentral:piRNA from 1 species